UUGAAUUUCCAAUCACAUCAGAGGGGGCCAGUCUGCAAGGACUGAGUCCUUUCUGAACAACCAAACAUACGUGACUAGAAACAGACAGAUGGAAUGGAAUGCUGUGCUGUGUCUCUGGGCACUAGCAAGCAGGCGCAAGCGCAAGCGCAAACGAAAAGUUCUUGGCUGAUUAAGUAGCAUUGAUUUGGAAUGGAAUCUACAAUCAAUA
rnacentral:misc_RNA from 1 species